rnacentral:rRNA from 1 species
AUGGUAGGAUAGAGGCCUACCAUGGUGGUAACGGGUAACGGGGUGUUAGGGCACGACACCGGAGAGGGAGCCUGAGAAACGGCUACCACAUCCAAGGAUGGCAGCAGGCGCGCAAAUUACCCAAUCCCGACACGGGGAGGUAGUGACAAUAAAUAACAAUACGGGGUUCUUAUGGAUCUCGUAAUUGGAAUGAGUACAAUUUAAAUCUCUUAACGAGGAACAAUUGGAGGGCAAGUCUGGUGCCAGCAGCCGCGGUAAUUCCAGCUCCAAUAGCGUAUAUNAAAGUUGUUGCAGUUAAAAAGCUCGUAGUUGAAUUUCGGGGUCAGUAGGUUGGUCAUGCCACUGGUAUGUACUGGUCUCACUGAUUCCUCCUUCCUGAUGAACUGUAAUGCCAUUAAUUUGGUGUUGCAGGGAAUCUGGACUGUUACUUUGAAAAAAUUAGAGUGUUUAAAGCAGGCUAACGCCUGAAUACAUUAGCAUGGAAUAAUGAAAUAGGACGUUCGAUCCUAUUUUGUUGGUUUCUAGGAUUGACGUAAUGAUUAAUAGGGAUAGUUGGGGGCAUUAGUAUUCAAUUGUCAGAGGUGAAAUUCUUGGAUUUAUUGAAGACUAACUACUGCGAAAGCAUUUGCCAAGGAUGUUUUCAUUAAUCAAGAACGAAAGUUAGGGGAUCGAAGACGAUCAGAUACCGUCGUAGUCUUAACCAUAAACUAUGCCGACUAGGGAUCGGAUGAUGUUAAUUUUUUAAUGACUCAUUCGGCGCCUUACGGGAAACCAAAGUGUUUGGG